rnacentral:rRNA from 1 species
UACGGGGGGGGCAAGCGUUGUUCGGAAUUACUGGGCGUAAAGGGCUCGUAGGUGGCCGACUAAGUCAGACGUGAAAUCCCUCGGCUUAACCGGGGAACUGCGUCUGAUACUGGACGGCUUGAGUUCGGGAGAGGGAUGCGGAAUUCCAGGUGUAGCGGUGAAAUGCGUAGAUAUCUGGAGGAACACCUAUUGCGAAGGCAGCUCGCUGGGACGUUACUGACGCUGAGACGCGAAAGCGUGGGGAGCGAACAGG